UAAUAAAGAAGUCUUUUGAGUUUUGAGACAAUGUUAGUUGUGAUUAUUCUUUGGUGGAGGUGGUGUUCAUAGUCUGCAUUAGAAAGUAUGAACUCAAAGUGGGAUGGGGAAGUAAGAGAAUGAAGGGCAAGAACUGAGUAAGGAGAAAGGAGUGUGAUCCCAGACUUGGAAAUCCAAUAGGAGAAAGAUUUUUUAGGCUCAGUCAUAGAAAAAGGAAUGGGUGAAAUGGCAGAACUAUGAAACAGAAUCAGAAGACAGGAUUAAAAAAAAACAA